AAGACUCUCGGCAACGGAUAGCUCGGCUCUUGCAUCGAUGAAGAACGUAGCGAAAUGCGAUACUUGGUGUGAAUUGCAGAAUCCCGUGAACCAUCGAGUCUUUGAACGCAAGUUGCGCCCGAAGCCAUUAGGCCGAGGGCACGCCUGCCUGGGUGUUGCACAU
rnacentral:rRNA from 1 species